UAGCAUACUUGUAUACACUUAUGCUGAUGAGACCAUGAAUUUCUCUCUCUUUUGUAUCUCCAAGAGGGAUGACCACAUAGGGAGGAGGAAUCUAAAAACUUAAGAUACAAAAUAUUAAAAGGCGAAAAAUACCAUACUGUUGUCUGCAGAAGAUUUUGAUACACAUUCAAAUUACAUCAUAAUGGCUGGGACAUACAUGGAUAUCAUCAAGUUGAGAAAGGAAAACUUUCUCCAAGAAGAAGAAAAGGGCAAUCUGGUAGCUGCUGGCUGUUUGUCUCAUCUAGGAACUUAAACUUUACAACAACCAACCUCAAUAUGAAUUACACAGGACAAGAUGCUAUUUAAAAGAAGCAGCUAAAGGGCUGUAAAAACCACAAGGGAGUGAGGAAACCUGGGUUCGGAUACCAGCUCCACAGUUACACUUCAAGCGGAACACUGAUCAGUGUAAGUCUCAUCAAUAAAACAGUGAUAAUAAUAUCUGACUCUAGGUUCUUGUGAGGAUUAAAUCAUAUAAUGCGUGGGAAAAUGCCUUGCACAGUGCCAGGAACAUAAGGGAUACUCACUAAAUUUUAAUUUAACUUGCAUGCUAGGAAAUCACAAAUAUGCCUACUUUGCAGAUGAUAAAUUCACAUUUACAAGAUUAUUACUGAGGCAUUCAAUGUCAGCCUAAUUAAAGAAAAUCCCAUUUUCCUUGAAGCUCCGCUGGUUUUCUGAACUUUUUGUCCUGGAACAAUACCCUGUGCUAACCCAUUUUAUUUUCAUUGGUUUAGUCAAAGGACAAUGAGUCAGACACUGCAGUUUGGGAGUCUUGAGUUCCAUUUUGAGCAUGCAUAGUCCAGUGACCUUGGACAAUCAAUGGGACAUUUUUUUGUGAACCUUUUUUGCAUUUCCCCAAAGGCAAAGCCUAGUCCUAUUCCUCCUUUCUGCCUGCUCAGCACAAACUUGGCAACAUUUGUUACCAAAAAUCAGGGCAUCGAUGUUUUAAUUCACAAGAAAAGUCCAAUUCAUGUAAUAUCUUUAUCCCUCUAUGAACUGCGGGGAAAAACGGAAGUAACCAAGCCCAAAUGUUCAGCCUAAAGCAUUUGCCGAUAUUCCUUUAAAGUAAUAAUCUCUCUGCAAGACCAGCAGCUCUUUAACGGACACUUCACUUUGCUGUUGGAAAGAAAACCUUUUCUGUGUUCUCUGCCUCCACCUGAACUGCUCAGUAAUUGAAAGUCAUUUUGUUUCUCCUAUCACCCUCGGCAGCUAUGUGCACAUUACCCAUCCAUUUCACUAUCUAAAUCAGGGGUUGAGGAAAAGUCCCUGUGGGAAGCCUGAAUAGCCAGCAGCUGCGUUUGGCCUGGCCAGCUGAACUUCAGCCUGCAUCUUGGCCCAACCCCAGGACUGAUAACGCCUUUGCUAAGCUUUAGAUUUCCCCAGCAUUUGCGUGCAAAAUGGAAAGGCUGGUUUUGUCUGUCCUG